CAUGUCAUGCGAGUUGCUGACGUGGCAGCAAAUCUCGUCCUUGAGGGCACGAUUUGCUGCCACGUCAGCAAGUCAUGCUGACAUGG
rfam:Gossypium hirsutum cultivar TM-1 chromosome 17, whole genome shotgun sequence